AAUUUGAGGUGCUACACCUGCAAGAUUCUCAGAUAAGACAAGACUUUAAUGUAUUCGCCACCUAGAGUGGCGAGUUCAUGUCUUAUCCUGACCUACUGAUGCAUGCAGUAGACGUGUCUUAUGUGAAGACAUGCAUGCAGCUCCACCUAGCCUGCAAGAUUCCCAACCAACUUUGCAUGCGUUACUUCUUCCCAGAUUUUUGCAUGCGUUACACGUGUCCAAUUUUUU
rnacentral:lncRNA from 1 species